rnacentral:rRNA from 1 species
AUGGCGCACCUACGCUCCGCUACCGACAUUAAGGGCGCCUCUGGCUACAAAGCCGAGCUCACCGACCGCUGCUUUCGUUGCCUCCACAAGUUCCACCGGGUUGCAUUCUGUCGCAACCGUUCGCUCUGCAUCCAUUGUCUCGACGACAGUGAUGGCCACUCCGCGCGUUGCUGCCCUCGGAGGCGCUUCCCUCGCGUCCCUCUUGAAACCCUUGACGCGGCUGCUCCACCCCCUGCUCGUCGCCGCCAGCCACCGGCUCCGCCUCGUGCUCUAUCACAGCCGGUCCACUCACGCCUCUUUUUCCCCCCUGGCCACCCCGUCACCAACCGUGCUCCGGUGCACUCGCGGCUUGCGUUCCCCCAAGACGACUCCCCCACCGCCACCAACUCGCCCUCCCUGCAAGCUUCAGAGGCUAUGGCUUCCCUUGGCGUUGCUGGCGCGCUCCCCGCGGGGGACCUGCGCCGGCCCAGGAUGUCACGCUGCCUGGUCGACUUCGAUCAGGACAUGGCCUUGGAGGAAGCCCACCCCAAGGAAUCAGCGCUGGUGCUCAUCGUAGCUGGCACUCACCCGGACCUCGUGCCUGGCAACAUCAAGGAGGCCAUCAUCGCCGAGUUCCCGGACAUGCCGGAUCUCGCGCUACACGUCUUCCUUAUGCAUCCGGAGGCGUUCUUCGUCCACUUUGCAGACAGCCGUUGGUUCGCUUCUCUGGCGGAGCGCGACUUCGUGCAUUUUCAAGGCACCCCCAUCCUCGUCAAGCGCUGGAGCAGGUUCAUCACCAUCGCCGCCGCUGAUCUUGAGGAUCCGCCGUCUGGGGUAGCGGGCGCUGUUGCUUGCCCUUACGGCGUUUCCUCGGCCGUGCUGACGGAGCCAACGGGAAGCGACGUGCUGGGUGUACAUGACGCUGUCAGGCAUGCCGUGGGGCAUGGCGUUACGGCUAGCGCCGCGCUGGAGAUCUCGUCUGCGGGCGCAUGCACUCCUGCCUUGCGUGAUGUUCUGGUUCAGCACUCUGCACCCGCUGCUGUGGUGCAUGCAUCAGAAGUUCUGGUCCCUGCUGCUGCCCCCGGAGGCGAGGUUACCACUGCCAUGUUCGAUAGCCUAGCCCUAGCUCUCGACACUUCGGAGGCUCCGCUGUUGGCUUCCUCUUCGGGCAUCGCUAUCUUCAAGACGUCGCUGCCGGGGACCCCUGGGAUGCAUAUGACCGAAGCACAGGUCAACUCUGACCGUGAGGCUCACGUGACCCUUGCAGGUGCUGUGGAGAUGCGAUCGCCAUGCAACGCGGGCUCUGCCGCGCUGCUCCCUUCGGCACCGGCCCAGCUUGCUGUCGCGCCAGAUGGGCCAAAUCUGCUCCAACCCCACACGCACGAGCCUACCACCCCGUCGGCCUUCAUGCAGCUGGCCAUGAUGCAGAUCUCUCCGGGCCUGUUGCCGGCUUCCUCUCACCCAGCCCAACGGGUUCCUAGGGCGAAAAAGAACCCGGUGGCUGCUUCGAGAAGAAGCCGUAGACUCCAGGGGCGUAGCGCCUCUGUCUCCGGCCGCGGAAACCGCACCAUGCGCUUAGCCAGAAAGCUAGUGAUGUCCAAGAGAGGGCUGGCCAUAGCAGAAAAAGGAGACGAAUCAGAGGAGGAGGAGCUCGAGAAAUACCGCCGGAUCUUUGACCUGCCACUCUCUCUGGAGCAGAUUUCUGCUCUGUCCGCGCUUGCCAAGGCAGGCAAGAUGCAGGGGAGGAAGGCCGUAAGCAUGGCCUAG